GAUCAUGGCUCAGGACGAACGCUGGCGGCGUGCUUAACACAUGCAAGUCGAACGAAGAGCGAUGGAAGCUUGCUUCUAUCAAUCUUAGUGGCGAACGGGUGAGUAACGCGUAAUCAACCUGCCCUUCAGGAGGGGGACAACAGUUGGAAACGACUGCUAAUACCGCAUACGAUCCAACCGUCGGCAUCGAGGAUGGAUGAAAGGUGGCCUCUAUUUAUAAGCUAUCACUGAAGGGAGGGG
rnacentral:rRNA from 1 species